UACGUAGGGACCAAGCGUUGUUCGGAUUUACUGGGCGUAAAGGGCGCGUAGGCGGCGCAACAAGUCACUUGUGAAAUCUCCGGGCUUAACCCGGAGCGGCCAAGUGAUACUGUCGUGCUAGAGUGCGGAAGGGGCUACUGGAAUUCCCGGUGUAGAGGUGAAAUUCGUAGAUAUCGGGAGGAACACCAGUGGCGAAGGCGGCUCUCUGGGCAGAUACUGACGCUGAGACGCGAAAGCGUGGGGAGCAAACAGG
rnacentral:rRNA from 1 species